rnacentral:rRNA from 1 species
GCAGUGAGGAAUAUUGGCAAUAGGCGAAAGCNUGAUCCAGCGACGUCACGUGAAUGAUGAAGGCCUUAGGGUUGUAAAAUUCUUUUAGUGGAGAAGAUAAUGACGGUAUCCACAGAAAAAGUCCCGGCUAACUUCGUGCCAGCAGCCGCGGUAAUACGAAGGGGGCAAGCGUUACUCGGAAUUAUUGGGCAUAAAGCGUGCGUAGGCGGUUUUAUAAGUUGAAAGUGAAAGCCUUUGGCUCAACCAAAGAAUUGCUUACAAAACUUGUAAAACUAGAGUAUUAGAGAGGAUAGAAGAAUUCCUGAUGUAGGGGUGAAAUCCGUAGAUAUCAGGAGGAAUAUCGGAGGCGAAAGCAUCUGUCUGGCUAAAUACUGACGCUGUUGCACGAAAGCGUGGGGAGCAAACAGGAUUAGAUACCCUGGUAGUCCACGCAGUAAACGAUGAGUGCUAGAUGUAGAACUAUGUUUAGCGUCGAAGCUAACGCAUUAAGCACUCCGCCU